rnacentral:rRNA from 1 species
CAGUCGCCGCGGGAAUACAGAGGGUGCAAGCGUUAAUCGGAAUUACUGGGCGUAAAGCGCGCGUAGGUGGUUCGCCAAGUUGGAUGUGAAAUCCCCGGGCUCAACCUGGGAACUGCAUCCAAAACUGGCGAGCUAGAGUAUGGUAGAGGGUGGUGGAAUUUCCUGUGUAGCGGCGAAAUGCGUAGAUAUAGGAAGGAACAUCAGUGGCGAAGGCGACCACCUGGACUGAUACUGACACUGAGGUGCGAAAGCGUGGGGAGCAAACAGGAUUAGAUACCCCGGUAGUCCCUGUCUCUUAUAC